UACGGGGGGGGCAAGCGUUGUUCGGAAUUACUGGGCGUAAAGAGCGCGCAGGCGGUCGUUCAAGUCGAGUGUGAAAGCCCCCGGCUCAACUGGGGAGGGUCACUCGAUACUGAUCGACUCGAAGGCAGAAGAGGGAAGCGGAAUUCCGCGUGUAGUGGUGAAAUGCGUAGAGAUGCGGAGGAACACCAGUGGCGAAAGCGACUUUCUGGUCCUUAACUGACGCUGAGGCGCGAAAGCAUGGGGAGCGAACGGG
rnacentral:rRNA from 1 species